rnacentral:lncRNA from 1 species
AGAUUUUGGUUGUAAUUUGAUUUGAUCAAAUGUUGUAAAAGAGCUUAAGCUCUUCUUUACUUUAAAGUAAUUUGUUUUAUGCAAAUGUUGUAAUGAGCAUAAGCUCACCUUUACUUUGAAGUACUUCUUUCUUGCUUUAUUUGAUAUGCAUGAAAAUGAAGUAGUUGGGUCCAACGCCCCUAAAACAACACGCCUUAAUGUGAUUAAACGCGUAACUAAAAUCAAUCACCAUCCCUAGACCGAGAUUCAACACAAGGCUCGUGUUGGAUCUAAUUAAAAGGUUCAUAGUCAUCCUAAGGCCCUAAGGCAACUAUAUAGUCCAUCAAUGAAUGCAAACCUUAUGUUAGUAG